UCCUUAUCAAGAGAGAUGGAGGGGCUGGCCCGAUGAAGUUUCAGCAACCACUGCGUUUCAUUAGCGUAGAAGGUGCUAAAUCCUGCAAAUUUAGUUUUGAGAGAUGAGGG
rnacentral:ncRNA from 1 species